GCGGCAGUUCCGGAAAGUGCGUGACCUCCUAAGUCACUGCAAGGGUGUUCGAGUCACCUCUGUCGCAC
rnacentral:tRNA from 1 species